UACGAAGGGGGCUAGCGUUGCUCGGAAUCACUGGGCGUAAAGGGUGCGUAGGCGGGUUCUUAAGUCAGAGGUGAAAUCCUGGAGCUCAACUCCAGAACUGCCUUUGAUACUGAGAGUCUUGAGUUCGGGAGAGGUGAGUGGAACUGCGAGUGUAGAGGUGAAAUUCGUAGAUAUUCGGAAGAACACCAGUGGCGAAGGCGGCUCACUGGCCCGGUACUGACGCUGAGAUACGAAAGCGUGGGGAGCAAACAGG
rnacentral:rRNA from 1 species